AUAGCUUUAGGGCUAGCCUCAAGUGAUGAUUAUUGGAGGUAGAGCACUGUUUGGACGAGGGGCCCCUCUCGGGUUACCGAAUUCAGACAAACUCCGAAUGCCAAUUAAUUUAACUUGGGAGUCAGAACAUGGGUGAUAAGGUCCGUGUUCGAAAGGGAAACAGCCCAGACCACCAGCUAAGGUCCCAAAAUAUAUGUUAAGUGGAAAAGGAUGUGGCGUUGCCCAGACAACUAGGAUGUUGGCUUAGAAGCAGCCAUCAUUUAAAGAGUGCGUAAUAGCUCACUAGUCGAGUGACACUGCGCCGAAAAUGUACCGGGGCUAAACAUAUUACCGAAGCUGUGGAUUGUCCUUUGGACAAUGGUAGGAGAGCGUUCUAAGGGCGUUGAAGCAUGAUCGUAAGGACAUGUGGAGCGCUUAGAAGUGAGAAUGCCGGUGUGAGUAGCGAAAGACGGGUGAGAAUCCCGUCCACCGAUUGACUAAGGUUUCCAGAGGAAGGCUCGUCCGCUCUGGGUUAGUCGGGUCCUAAGCUGAGGCCGACAGGCGUAGGCGAUGGAUAACAGGUUGAUAUUCCUGUACCACCUAUAAUCGUUUUAAUCGAUGGGGGGACGCAGUAGGAUAGGCGAAGCGUGCGAUUGGAUUGCACGUCUAAGCAGUAAGGCUGAGUAUUAGGCAAAUCCGGUACUCAUUAAGGCUGAGCUGUGAUGGGGAGAAGACAUUGUGUCUUCGAGUCGUUGAUUUCACACUGCCGAGAAAAGCCUCUAGAUAGAAAAUAGGUGCCCGUACCGCAAACCGACACAGGUAGUCAAGAUGAGAAUUCUAAGGUGAGCGAGCGAACUCUCGUUAAGGAACUCGGCAAAAUGACCCCGUAACUUCGGGAGAAGGGGUGCUCUUUAGGGUUAACGCCCAGAAGAGCCGCAGUGAAUAGGCCCAAGCGACUGUUUAUCAAAAACACAGGUCUCUGCUAAACCGUAAGGUGAUGUAUAGGGGCUGACGCCUGCCCGGUGCUGGAAGGUUAAGAGGAGUGGUUAGCUUCUGCGAAGCUACGAAUCGAAGCCCCAGUAAACGGCGGCCGUAACUAUAACGGUCCUAAGGUAGCGAAAUUCCUUGUCGGGUAAGUUCCGACCCGCACGAAAGGCGUAACGAUUUGGGCACUGUCUCAACGAGAGACUCGGUGAAAUCAUAGUACCUGUGAAGAUGCAGGUUACCCGCGACAGGACGGAAAGACCCCGUGGAGCUUUACUGUAGCCUGAUAUUGAAAUUCGGCACAGCUUGUACAGGAUAGGUAGGAGCCUUUGAAACGUGAGCGCUAGCUUACGUGGAGGCGCUGGUGGGAUACUACCCUAGCUGUGUUGGCUUUCUAACCCGCACCACUUAUCGUGGUGGGAGACAGUGUCAGGCGGGCAGUUUGACUGGGGCGGUCGCCUCCUAAAAGGUAACGGAGGCGCUCAAAGGUUCCCUCAGAAUGGUUGGAAAUCAUUCAUAGAGUGUAAAGGCAUAAGGGAGCUUGACUGCGAGACCUACAAGUCGAGCAGGGUCGAAAGACGGACUUAGUGAUCCGGUGGUUCCGCAUGGAAGGGCCAUCGCUCAACGGAUAAAAGCUACCCCGGGGAUAACAGGCUUAUCUCCCCCAAGAGUUCACAUCGACGGGGAGGUUUGGCACCUCGAUGUCGGCUCAUCGCAUCCUGGGGCUGUAGUCGGUCCCAAGGGUUGGGCUGUUCGCCCAUUAAAGCGGUACGCGAGCUGGGUUCAGAACGUCGUGAGACAGUUCGGUCCCUAUCCGUCGUGGGCGUAGGAAAUUUGAGAGGAGCUGUCCUUAGUACGAGAGGACCGGGAUGGACAUACCUCUGGUGUACCAGUUGUCGUGCCAACGGCAUAGCUGGGUAGCUAUGUGUGGACGGGAUAAGUGCUGAAAGCAUCUAAGCAUGAAGCCCCCCUCAAGAUGAGAUUUCCCAACUUCGGUUAUAAGAUCCCUCAAAGAUGAUGAGGUUAAUAGGUUCGAGGUGGAAGCAUGGUGACAUGUGGAGCUGACGAAUACUAAUCGAUCGAAGACUUAAUCAA
rnacentral:rRNA from 1 species